rnacentral:rRNA from 1 species
AGCGAACGCUGGCGGCAGGCCUAACACAUGCAAGUCGAACGAACUCUUCGGAGUUAGUGGCGGACGGGUGAGUAACACGUGGGAACGUGCCUUUAGGUUCGGCAUAACUCAGGGAAACUUGUGCUAAUACCGAAUGUGCCCUUCGGGGGAAAGAUUUAUCGCCUUUAGAGCGGCCCGCGUCUGAUUAGCUAGUUGGUGAGGUAAAGGCUCACCACGGCGACGAUCAGUAGCUGGUCUGAGAGGAUGAUCAGCCACAUUGGGACUGAGACACGGCCCAAACUCCUACGGGAGGCAGCAGUGGGGAAUCUUGCGCAAUGGGCGAAAGCCUGACGCAGCCAUGCCGCGUGAAUGAUGAAGGUCUUAGGAUUGUAAAAUUCUUUCACCGGGGACGAUAAUGACGGUACCCGGAGAAGAAGCCCCGGCUAACUUCGUG